GCGAGAGCGCGCCGCAGCCCCACUGCCGCGGUGUUCGCACCGCCGGUACAUCCUGCCCUGCUAGGGGGCGGGAUCGUGGAACGCCUCGUAGAACUGCACGCAAGCAAAAACAAAGCCAUCUCUCCGAAGCAGAAAUGGAACAGACGUGGCCGGGGAAAGCCAAAUAUUUGUGAGAUGAUGUGAACAAAGGGGAAAAGUCAAUCUAGGAAAGUUUGAGUUUCUGGUUGGAGCCUUCAACGGCUCUGAACGGUUGAUUGGAAAGGUCUCUCUCCUGGAUAACAACAAUUCAAUGUGCCUUGACAUUUUAAUAGCCUGCCGUCCUGGUGAACACAAUCGAGCAAGGCAGUGAAGCAAAAAUCAUUAGGUGGCUGGACUUAGACACAUCACGCUCCAGUUUGGGUUCCAAGGUGCUUCUCUCUGGAUUUUCACCUGCCUUGCCAAAAAUGAUUGAUUACGCUGGGCCAACUGGGUGUCCGGCAAUACCCAACAAAUGACUUUGGCCCCUAACAGCAGGCCUUGGCCAGAUAGAAAUCAAUAUUUCACCAUUAAAAUCUAUCAAAGAAGAGUUAAGGCACCAUCUGUCCCUGCCGCCUCUCUAUGGUGUGUGAACAUUAAAUCCGACACUUGUACUACAUGGGUAAUCAAUAUAUAGUGGUUCACAGAUCAUUUGUGGUCCCCUUUUAGCAGUGAUGGAUGUCUGGAAUCGUUGUGAUUCAUUUUGUCAGACCAUUAAACAAGAUUCUGUCCAGUUCCUUCCUGAUUUCA